GGGGAGGUGCCAGAGUGGUCGAAUGGGGCCGCCUGCUAAGCGGUUGAAGGGGCUAUAACCUCUUCCGAGGGUUCGAAUCCCUCCCUUCCCG
rnacentral:tRNA from 1 species